rnacentral:tRNA from 2 species
GGGGAUGUAAUUCAAUGGUAGAAUACUUGUUUUGCACUCAAGAAGUUGUCGGUUCGAUUCCGAUCGUCUCCA